CGGGGAGUAGCGCAGUUUGGUAGCGCACUUGUAUGGGGUACAAGGGGUCGCAGGUUCAAAUCCUGUCUCCCCGACCA
rnacentral:tRNA from 1 species